CAGCCGCCGCGGUAAUACAGAGGGUGCGAGCGUUAAUCGGAUUUACUGGGCGUAAAGCGUGCGUAGGCGGCUUCUUAAGUCGGAUGUGAAAUCCCUGAGCUUAACUUAGGAAUUGCAUUCGAUACUGGGAAGCUAGAGUAUGGGAGAGGAUGGUAGAAUUCCAGGUGUAGCGGUGAAAUGCGUAGAGAUCUGGAGGAAUACCGAUGGCGAAGGCAGCCAUCUGGCCUAAUACUGACGCUGAGGUACGAAAGCAUGGGGAGCAAACAGGAUUAGAUACCCCUGAGUCCCUGUCUCUUAUACC
rnacentral:rRNA from 1 species